rnacentral:rRNA from 1 species
AUGACGAUCUUUAGCUGGAACUGCCGGGGCUUGGGCCACCCUGGUACGGUUCGGGAAUUGGUGUGCCUAGUGCAUACACAUCGCCCCUCUGUUGUGUUCAUUUCAGAGACACGACAGUGUGAAGAGAGCGUUAAAAGAAUAAGAGAUAGAAUAGGACUCAAGAAUUGUAUCACCCAUGAUGGAGUUGGCAAGGGUGUCGGCAUCGCCCUCUUUUGGGACGAUAGCGUUGAAAUAAAUCUGCUCUCUUAUGGUUCGCAUUACAUUGAUGUUCAUAUCCGGGAUUCCCCCAACAGACCACUCUGGAGAGGUACAUUUGUGUAUGGUGAGCCGCGUGCCCAAGAGAGAUACCAUAUGUGGAACCUAAUCCGGAGAAUAAAGCCUAGAUCAGCAGAACCUUGGAUGAUGAUUGGUGACUUCAAUGAAACUAUGUGGCACAUAUAA